rnacentral:rRNA from 1 species
AAUUAAAGAAAUUAAUUAAUAUACCUUUUGUAUCAGGGUUUUUUAAAAAUAUUAUUUAUUAAUUAUUCUCGAAUCAAUAAUGAGCUAAAUUUUUUGUUUUUGUUGAAAUAAAAGAGUUAAAUUUAAUUAGUUAUGAAAUGUUAUCGUAUUUUGGGUUAUCUAGUUACUAAAUUAAUUUAUUUUAUAAUUAAUUGUUAAUUAAUUAAAUAGAAAAGUUAAUUUUUUUAUUUUAUUAGAUAAAAUUUUGUUUUUUAUUAAGUAGGCUUAAUAUUAGCUAUCUUUAUAUAUUUUUAUAAAUAAUUGGUUUUAUAUAAUAAAUGUUAUUAUUUUUACUUUAGUUAUUUUAUUUAUUAAUUAUGUUUUAUUAAUAUUGAAUUAAUUAGUAUUAAAUUUAUAUUAUAUGUUCAAACUCGUAGUUUGUUUGACAGUUUAACAAAAACAUUUUUUUUUAGUUAAUAUAAAGUAAGACCUGCCCAGUGAUUUUAAACGGCUGCAGUAUUUUAACUGUACUAAGGUAGCAUAAUCAUUUGUUUUUUAAUUGAAAACUGGCAUGAAUGGUUUUACAAAUAAUUAAUUAUAAUAUUUUAUUAUAGUAAUUUUUAUUCUUAGUAAAAAUACUUAGAUUAAAUAAAGGGACGAUAAGACCCUAAAAGCUUUUUUAUUAAUUUUAUUUUAAUUAGUAGAAUAAUUAUAUUUAGUUGGGGUAACGUAAGUAUAUAUAUUAUUUUAUUUAAUAGCGUUAAUACACGGUUGUUUGAUCUUUUUUAUAAAGAAAAUUAGUGUUAGUUACUUUAGGGAUAACAGCGUAAUAAUUUUAGAAAGGCCUUAUUAAUAAAAUUGAUUACGACCUCGAUGUUGAAUUAAGAUGUCUAUAUAUUGCAGCAGAUAUAUAAGAAGUUUGUUCAACCUUUAUUU